AGAGUUUGAUCCUGGCUCAGGAUGAACGCUAGCGGCAGGCCUAAUACAUGCAAGUCGCACGAGAAGCUUCCUUCGGGAAGUGGAGAGUGGCGGACGGGUGCGUAACGCGUAUCCAACCUGCCCUUCAGCGGGGAAUAACAUUGGGAAACCGAUGCUAAUACCGCAUAUAUUGUAAGCUGGGCAUCCAGUUAACAAGAAAGACGCGAGUCACUGAAGGAUGGGGAUGCGUUUGAUUAGCUAGUUGGAGAGGUAACGGCUCCCCAAGGCAACGAUCAAUAGCUGGUCUGAGAGGAUGAUCAGCCACACUGGCACUGAGACACGGGCCAGACUCCUACGGGAGGCAGCAGUAGGGAAUAUUGGGCAAUGGGCGCAAGCCUGACCCAGCCAUGCCGCGUGCGGGAAGACGGUCCACAGGAUUGUAAACCGCUUUUCUACGGGAAUAAGGACUUGGUAUCCAGGUUCUGCAGGUACCGUAGGAAUAAGCACCGGCAAACUACGUGCCAGCAGCCGCGGUAAUACGUAGGGUGCAAGUGUUGUCCGGAUUCACUGGGUUUAAAGGGUACGCAGGCGGCUUGGCCAGUCGGCGAUGAAAUAUCGGAGCUUAACUCCGGUGCUGUUGCCGAUACUGCCAGGCUAGA
rnacentral:rRNA from 1 species